UUUGGACACAAUUUUCUCCGUAGUAUUUUGAGACAUCAUCAUCUUUUCAAAUAAAAGCAAAAGAUUUUCUUUCUCCCCCUGCAGCCUGGAAACCGUCCUUGCUACAAGUGACACAAUGCAAUAACCCGGUACUUUGAAAGGUCUGUAUUCCACCACAGGUGUAGUCCACUAAAGCAGGACAGAUUCCACACCAUGUGUGCAUGCUCUGCUCCUCUGGGUCUGUUUGCUGCCUCUCCGACUGCUCUGGGUCUGUUUGCUGCCUCUCCGACUGCUCUGCUAUCUUCAAUAAGAUUUUAAAACUAUAUGGAAGAUUGAGCUGUGACACCAAUGAUCUCAGUGAGCAUGACUGCCGUGAUGGUGGUCCUAUGGGGAACAUUUGCCAACAACUGAGUGACUCAGGUCUGGCUGCAGAGCCAACGUCCUCCAAUAGGCAUGUGAGCUGGAUGCCAGAGGAGACUUCGCUCAGGGACAUCGCACAUUUCUCAUGGAAUGGAGAGCUGAUUCCAACCAGCCACCUCAGCCCUGCUAACUGUUGACUUCUGACUUUCUCUAAAUGAGAAACAUGAAGGCGUGCUUGUAUGUUUUAGACAGGAGGGACAGUUGUGAGCAUUUUUUCAGUGGCUAACUUGCAAUUCAGUCCUUCCUUUGCUUUGGGUGGCUUCAUAUCGAAUGAUGGUUUGAAUGUGCGGGAGCCUUACCUAGGUUAGCGUGCAAUUAUUCACACAUUAUGAAAAAGAUCAAUGUGAAGGAAAUGAAGGGACACAGUGUGGUCAUUAUACCUUUCAUAAUAAACACUGUGCGGCCAGUGUCUCAUUUUGUGCUAUUUGCUUCUGUGAAAUUAGCUAAUCCCUGGAGCAUAGCCUUAUCAAUAUUAACAAUUAUUGGUUGUUUGUAUCAUUCCAUCUCUACUUCAUAGCUAGCCACCCCUUGUAGUUUUUCUUAUUAUAGACUGAGGAAUUGAUUAAUGAAACAUAAAAUGUGGAGUCGGCUCACAGCUACGUGAAACCAUACCCACGUAAGUCUGUCUUUGGACCUCUUUGGUGAGGCGAACUGUCAUGUUAACCAGGUUAGAUGGACUGCAGCUGCUCCUUAUGCAGGCUGUGGAGAGGUUUGGGUGAUAAGAGGCUCCAUUUCAGGGCCAUUUGUCAUGUUUCUUGAUAAAGGCUAACAAUAGUG
rnacentral:lncRNA from 1 species